rnacentral:rRNA from 1 species
UGAAUACCAGAUGCUACGGCGUCGAAGCAGUCUAUGUCAUACUUCCAAGAAAAGCUUGCACUGUCAUAAACAAAUAAUGCCUGUACCAUAACCGACACAGGUGGGUAGGUAGAGUAUACUAAGGGGCGCGAGACAACUCUCUCUAAGGAACUCGGCAAAAUGACUCCGUAACUUCGGGAGAAGGAGUGCCUUCUUUAGAAGGUUGCAAUAACAAGAUCCAAGCAACUGUUUACCAAAAACACAGGUCUCCGCUAAGUCGUAAGACGAUGUAUGGGGGCUGACGCCUGCCCAGUGCCAGAAGGUUAAAGAAGUUGGUUAGCAUUCGCGAAGCUGAUAACUGAAGCCCUGGUGAACGGCGGCCGUAACAAUAACGGUCCUAAGGUAGCGAAAUUCCUUGUCGGGUAAGUUCCGACCCGCACGAAAGGCGUAAUGAUUUGGAUACUGUCUCGGAGAGGGACUCGGUGAAAUAGACUUGUCUGUGAAGAUGCGGACUACCUGCACCUGGACAGAAAGACCCUAUGAAGCUUUACUGUAACUUGAAAUUGAAAUUGGACUUUAUUUGCGCAGUAUAGGUGGGAGGCUUUGAGAAUAAUCUUGCGGGAUUAUUGGAGCUAUCAGUGAGAUACCACUCUUGUAAUGUUAGAUUCCUAACUUUGGAUCAUUAUCUGGUCAAAGAACAGUUUCAGGCGGGCAGUUUGACUGGGGCGGUCGCCUCCCAAACGGUAACGGAGGCGCACAAAGGUUUCCUCUGAACGGGUAGAAAUCGUAUCUAGAGUGUAAAGGCAUAAGGAAGCUUGACUGUGAGACCUACAAGUCGAGCAGGGACGAAAGUCGGUCUUAGUGAUCUGACGGUGCUGAGUGGAAAGGCCGUCACUCAACGGAUAAAAGUUACUCUAAGGAUAACAGGCUGAUCUCCCCCAAGAGUUCACAUCGACGGGGAGGUUUGGCACCUCGAUGUCGGCUCAUCGCAUCCUGGGGCGGUAGUACGUCCCAAGGGUUGGGCUGUUCGCCCAUGAAAGCGGUACGCGAGCUGGGUUCAGAACGUCGUGAGACAGUUCGGUCCAUAUCCGGUGUAGGCGUUAGAAUAUUGAGAGGAGCCUUCUCUAGUACGAGAGGACCGAGAAGGACAUACCUCUGGUGUACCAGUUAUCGUGCCAACGGUAAACGCUGGGUAGCUAUGUAUGGAGUGGAUAACCGCUGAAAGCAUCUAAGUGGGAAGCCCACCUCAAGAUAAGUAUUCUCAUCACGUAAGUGAAUAAGGUCACGGUAAGACUAACCGUUUGAUAGGCAUUAAGUAUAAAUCUAGUAAUAGGUGAGCUGAGAUGUACUAACAGACCGAAGACUUGAA